GGGCGGUGGGCUUCACCAUGGCCCUGAUCUCACCCUCGGUUUCUUCUUCUGUGAAAUGGGGGCAUACUUUUUGGGGGUCACGGUGAGCAUUAGUGAUGAAAGCCUGCUGGGCGCCUGGCCCGGAGGGGGUCUGCACUCCAUGAUGGUGGCUGUUUUCACUGUCCCCAUCAUUGCUACCACAAUUAAUCGUAUCGCUGUUAUUACGCACCUGCUCUGCUUUAUGGAGGUGCGACAAAGCUGGCCUUUUCCCUCCCAUGUUCCCGUGUGGCCCUCCAGCCAGCAGGGCCAUAUCUUGCUCUCUCUGUUGCCUAGGGCAGGGCUCAGAGCCACCUAGAGGUUGGUGAUGUGUCCAUGUGGUUCGGUAACUACCCCAGUCCCUCCCUGUUGGCCAGCUGCAGGUGCGGUCAGAUCCGGCACCACCCUGAGGAGCUCACAGCCUCAGGGAGAGGGAGGCCCUUGAGGUGUGAACUGCCAGGAGCACAGUGGAAGCCGUAAGAGGGGCAGUGCUGCUGGAGGGCUUCCUGGAGGAGGCGGCUCUUGAAAGCGGAGUAUUGACAGGUGGGCAUGGCUCCUCUGUCAGCCCAGGAGGAGGGCACUCCAGGCCCAGGACACAGCCCAGGCAGAGGUGUGACGGCAGAGUGGGUGGAGCACUGAGGCAAGAGCUGGGUGGGGCCGGAUUGUGCAGGGCCUCGAGUAGGAGAGAGGUGGCAGGUGGAGAGGCCGAGAGGCCAGAGUCUCCCUGGGGCACUUGUCCGGAGCAGUUCUUUCCUAGUGGGCCUGAGGGAGCCAUAGCAGACGCCAGACCCCCUCCCUUUGCAUGUGGUUGCCCCGCCCCUUGGCACUCCCACCGCGGCCGGGCAGAUGGCCAUAUGAGGAGGGCAGGACUGAAGCAGCCAGUGGAAACGGCUCUUGGCCAGGAAAAAGAUGAAAAAAAGAAAAAGAAAAGCACGAGCGUGCUGGUGGCCGGCACAGAAGGCGGCAAGUGUGUGAGUGGCGCGGGAGGUGUUGACGGACAUGAUGCAGUUUGUCAGCCAGCAUGGAGAGGGGGUGGCAUCUUACCAGACCCAGCCUGGGAUCUACGGCCGGAACAGCUGCCCCGUGGUCCCUGGGUGGGACUCGGCAGGACGGCGGGACCAUGGGACACAGUUGGGGCCGCUGGCGGGUUGGCCAGUUUCCCGCUGCAGAUCGAUGCUGUGACCUGGCCUGCAGGCACCCUGGAGAGCUCGCCACCUGCCUGCCUCCCUCCAGGGCACUACCGGACAUCUCUACUCCGACCUCUGGCCGGGCCUGGCCUAAUAAACCGCCCGCUUCGCUGGCCGUGGUGCUGCUG